AACGAACGCUGGCGGCAUGCCUAACACAUGCAAGUCGAACGAGAUCUUCGGGUCUAGUGGCGCACGGGUGCGUAACGCGUGGGAAUAUGCCCUUUGGUGCGGAAUAACAGUUGGAAACGACGGCUAAGAUGGGAUGAUGACGAAAGUGCACAGAUUUAUCGCCAGAGGAUGAGCCCAAGUAGGAUUAGCUAGUUGGUGUGGUAAAGGCGCACCAAGGCGACGAUACUUAGCUGGUCUGAGAGGAUGAUCAGACACACUGGGACUGAGACACGGCCCAGACUCCUACGGGAGGCAGCAGAGGGGAAUAUUGGACAAUGGGCGAAAGCCUGAUCCAGCAAUGCCGCGUGAGUGAUGAAGGCCGUAGGGUUGUAAAGCUCUUUUACCCGGGAUGAUAAUGACAGUACCGGGAGAAUAAGCUCCGGCUAACUCCGUGCCAGCCGCCGCCGUAA
rnacentral:rRNA from 1 species